rnacentral:rRNA from 1 species
CCUACGGGGGGCUGCAGUGGGGAAUAUUGGACAAUGGGGGCAACCCUGAUCCAGCCAUGCCGCGUGUGUGAAGAAGGCCCUCGGGUUGUAAAGCACUUUCAGUGAGGAAGAACGCCUGGUGGUUAAUACCCAUCAGGAAAGACAUCACUCACAGAAGAAGCACCGGCUAACUCCGUGCCAGCAGCCGCGGUAAUACGGAGGGUGCGAGCGUUAAUCGGAAUUACUGGGCGUAAAGCGCGCGUAGGUGGCUUGAUAAGCCGGUUGUGAAAGCCCCGGGCUCAACCUGGGAACGGCAUCCGGAACUGUCAAGCUAGAGUGCAGGAGAGGAAGGUAGAAUUCCCGGUGUAGCGGUGAAAUGCGUAGAGAUCGGGAGGAAUACCAGUGGCGAAGGCGGCCUUCUGGACGGACACUGACACUGAGGUGCGAAAGCGUGGGUAGCAAACAGGAUUAGAUACCCCAGUAGUC